GCAGGAGGAAGAGGAGCUGAGAGCUUCAGGGAGGAGCUGAGCUGUUACUGAACUAUAGAAGAGACACAAACUUCCACAUUCAACACAGUUCAAACAUUAACUCUGAUCAUCAUGGACUAUUAUGGACUUUCUCUGCUGGUCGCCUCACUGCUAACAGGAAUCCGCUGUGAAGGACUGACUGCGGUUAAAACAGAGAUCUCCAGCUUAGAGGGCAGCUCUGUCACUCUGUCCUAUAAUUAUCCCAACCUGCGAACUGGAGAUUAUUUCUUCUGGUACCGUCAGUAUCCAGGAGAACCUCCAGAGCUUCUGAUUUCUCACUCUGCUUCAGGGAGUGAAAUAAUUAAAAAUGUUCCUGAACUCAAGAUUGAAGUGAGCAAACCCCAGAUGGACCUGCUGAUCUCCUCUGCUGCAAUGGCAGACUCUGCUGUGUACUACUGUGCUGUGAGGCCCACAGUGACAGGAAACACCAGAACUCUGUACAAGAACCUGCAAUACUCCACAGCAUCCACUAGAGGGCCUCACACACUGCUCCUCCUCUAUGUUUUGUUUGGAUUCAAUCUGAAACCAGAUCAUGAUACUCAUGUCUUUCUGCGUAAUCACAGUUUAGUUUUCUAAAACAUCUAAGUAAAUAGAUUGCAGCAAAAAUAUGUUCUUUGUUCUCUAAUGUUUUAGCCACAUUGGUAAUUUCUCUUUGAAUUACCUUAAAAUUAUACUGAAAGAAAU